rnacentral:rRNA from 1 species
CCUACGGGAGGCAGCAGUGAGGAAUAUUGGUCAAUGGGCGAGAGCCUGAACCAGCCAAGUCGCGUGAGGGAGUACUGCCCUAUGGGUUGUAAACCUCUUUUGUCGGGGAGCAAAAGCCGGACGUGUCCGGCUGUUAGAGUACCCGAAGGAAAAGCAUCGGCUAACUCCGUUCCAGCAGCCGCGGUAAUACGGAGGAUGCGGGGGUUAUCCGGAUUUAUUGGGUUUAAAGGGGACGCAGGCGGGUUUUAAAGUCAUUGGGAAAAUCGUGGGGACAAACCCCAUCCAGCCGUUGAAACUGGGGAUCUAGAGUGUGCGAGAGGUAUGCGGAAUGCGUGGUGUAGCGGUGAAAUGCAUAGAUAUCACGCAGAACCCCGAUUGCGAAGGCAGCAUACCGGUGCACAACUGACGCUCAGGCUCGAAAGCGUGGGUAUCGAACAGGAUUAGAUACCCGAGUAGUC